AUUGAACGCUGGCGGCAUGCCUUACACAUGCAAGUCGAACGGCAGCGGGCCUUCGGGUGCCGGCGAGUGGCGAACGGGUGAGUAAUGCAUCGGAACGUGCCAUUGAGUGGGGGGAUAACGUAGCGAAAGUUGCGCUAAUACCGCAUAUUCUGUGAGCAGGAAAGCAGGGGACCGCAAGGCCUUGCGCUCUUUGAGCGGCCGAUGUCAGAUUAGCUAGUUGGUGAGGUAAAGGCUUACCAAGGCGACGAUCUGUAGCGGGUCUGAGAGGAUGAUCCGCCACACUGGAACUGAGACACGGUCCAGACUCCUACGGGAGGCAGCAGUGGGGAAUUUUGGACAAUGGGGGGCAAACCCCUGAUCCAGCCAUGCCGCGUGAGUGAAGAAGGCCUCGGUUGUAA
rnacentral:rRNA from 1 species